rnacentral:rRNA from 1 species
GGUGAGGUAACGGCUCACCAAGGCCACGAUGACUAGGGGGUCUGAGAGGAUGAUCCCCCACACUGGUACUGAGACACGGACCAGACUCCUACGGGAGGCAGCAGUGAGGAAUAUUGGGCAAUGGACGCAAGUCUGACCCAGCCAUGCCGCGUGCAGGAUGACUGCCCUAUGGGUUGUAAACUGCUUUUGUUUGGGAAGAAACCCCCGAUCGUGAUCGGGGCUGACGGUACCAUACGAAUAAGCAUCGGCUAACUCCGUGCCAGCAGCCGCGGUAAUACGGAGGAUGCAAGCGUUAUCCGGAUUCAUUGGGUUUAAAGGGUGCGCAGGCGGAAUAUUAAGUCAGUGGUGAAAUCCUGCAGCUUAACUGUAGAACUGCCAUUGAUACUGAUAUUCUUGAAUAUAGUUGAGGUAGGCGGAAUGUGUAAUGUAGCGGUGAAAUGCUUAGAUAUUACACAGAACACCAAUUGCGAAGGCAGCUCACUAAACUAAUAUUGACGCUGAGGCACGAAAGCGUGGGUAGCAAACAGGAUUAGAUACCCUGGUAGUCCACGCUGUAAACUAUGAUCACUCGCUGUUGGCAAUACAUCGUCAGCGGCUGAGCGAAAGCAUUAAGUGAUCCACCUGGGGAGUACGGUCGCAAGAUUGAAACUCAAAGGAAUUGACGGGGGCCCGCACAAGCGGAGGAACAUGUGGUUUAAUUCGAUGAUACGCGAGGAACCUUACCUGGGCUUAAAUGCAGAGCGACGUCCGCCGAAAGGUGGAUUCCUUCGGGCGAUCUGCAAGGUGCUGCAUGGUUGUCGUCAGCUCGUGCCGUGAGGUGUCGGGUUAAGUCCCAUAACGAGCGCAACCCUUAUCGUUAGUUGCCAGCGGGUAAUGCCGGGGACUCUAACGAAACUGCCGGUGUACACCGUGAGGAAGGUGGGGAUGACGUCAAAUCAGCACGGCCCUUAUGUCCAGGGCUACACACGUGUUACAAUGGUCGGUACAGAGGGCAGCUACCACGCGAGUGGAUGCUAAUCUCGAAAACCGGUCUCAGUUCGGAUUGAAGUCUGCAACUCGACUUCAUGAAGCUGGAUUCGCUAGUAAUCGCGCAUCA